rnacentral:rRNA from 1 species
UACGGGGGGUGCGAGCGUUGUCCGGAAUCACUGGGCGUAAAGGGCGCGUAGGUGGUUUGAUAAGGGUGUGGUGAAAGUCCGGGGCUCAACCCCGGAUCUGCCGUGCCGACUGUCAAACUCGAGGGCUGUAGAGGCAGACGGAAUUCCGGGUGUAGCGGUGGAAUGCGUAGAGAUCCGGAGGAAGACCGGUGGCGAAGGCGGUCUGCUGGGCAGUGGCUGACGCUGAGGCGCGACAGCGUGGGGAGCAAACAGG